rnacentral:rRNA from 1 species
AACGUAGGAGACAAACGUUAUCCGGAGUUACUGGGCGUAAAGGGCGUGUAGGUGGUUUCGUAAGUCUGGCGUGAAAUAUCUCGGCUUAACCGAGGCAGGUCGUCGGAUACUGCGGAACUAGAGGACGGUAGAGGCGUGUGGAAUUCCGGGUGUAGUGGUGAAAUGCGUAGAGAUCCGCAAGAACACCAGUGGCGAAGGCGGCUCACUGGCCCGAUACUGACGCUGAGGCACGAAAGCGUGGGGAGCAAACAGG